GCAAGCGUUGUUCGGAAUUACUGGGCGGAAAGGGCGCGUAGGCGGCCUUCUAAGUCGAACGUGAAAUCCCCGGGCUCAACCCGGGAACUGCGUCCGAUACUGGAAGGCUUGAAUCCGGGAGAGGGAUGCGGAAUUCCAGGUGUAGCGGUGAAAUGCGUAGAUAUCUGGAGGAACACCGGUGGCGAAGGCGGCAUCCUGGACCGGCAUUGACGCUGAGGCGCGAAAGCCAGGGGAGCAAACGGG
rnacentral:rRNA from 1 species